UACGUAGGGUGCAAGCGUUUGUCCGGAAUUAUUGGGCGUAAAGAGCUCGUAGGCGGUUUGUCGCGUCUGCUGUGAAAACCCGAGGCUCAACCUCGGGCCUGCAGUGGGGUACGGGCAGACUAGAGUGCGGUAGGGGGAGAUUGGAAUUCCUGGUGUAGCGGUGGAAUGCGCAGAUAUCAGGAGGAACACCAAUGGCGAAGGCAGAUCUCUGGGCCGUAACUGACGCUGAGGAGCGAAAGCAUGGGGGAGCGAACAGG
rnacentral:rRNA from 1 species